rnacentral:lncRNA from 1 species
AACUUCCAUAAUUACUCAAUCAGUAUAUGCAACUCUUGUUGUUUCUACAAAAAAAAAACACAAAAGUAUAAAGCAUAGGCGGUCAUUAUAGAAAUUUUAACUUGCAAACAUUUCCUCAGGUAGUUGAUGGUUAAUCAUCAACCUUUGCUAAUUUAAAUAGUAUUAUUUUUCUCUUCAGAAAAUGUUAUUUAGAUACUGAAGCAUCUAGCUCCACCGAAACAUCAUUCUCAUGUUAGGUAGUACUUCAGAAUAUAUGUGCAACUACAAACCAGGGGAUAUGAUGUUCUUCUUAAGUUUAUUAUGGAGUACAGUAGAAAAUUAAAUUUAAUUAUUUUCUCUUUCUCCUUUUUCAGUUACGACAUUCAAACAGGUAUACAAGACCCUUAUGAAGACUGUGUGGCAACAAUGAGGCUGUACAAGCGAAUGAAGUACCAACGUCACAAAAUUGAGGACUUCCCUCAAGUUACUGACCCUCAUCGAAAUAAUUUUGCUUCAUGGAGGCAAAAUGAGCUUGAAAGGAUGAGUCCAGAUGACCUGUUAGCACUUUCAAGGUCCGAUUACUAUUGCUGGUGCUUGGAUUCUCGGGAUAUAUGAAAUGCAUGCACCUGAAACAGACAAAAUGCAUGGGGAUUUAGGCAAGGAGACCUAAGCAAAGUGACAAUGAUCCUUCUUAUUAAGUAUAAAUAAUGGGGAGUAUAGAUAUGUAACACUCCCAAUCAUUUUCCAAUUAGUUUAUGUAUCUGAUGAAAUCAGAAUUUAUGUACUUCAAAUUUUCAGAAGAGAAAUAUAUGAUAUGGCAUCGAUGUUUCAACCAAAAUAUUUAAACGAAAGUCAAGUGAAAAACUUCAGAUCUAUCAUCAUAUCUAACACAUUAUAUUUUCAGGUAAUUAUAGUUUUAAAACUUUUCUGGCACCUAAGCAUAAUAUUCUGAAUCUAGCAAUUGCUGAUCUAUCAUUCUAUCUUUUGUUUCUUUCUUCCCUUCUGAUGUAUUAUAUUUCUCAACUGUAGAAUGUAGUUUCUUUUGCCGUGGUCUACAUCGUCAACAAUUAAAAAGAUCUUAAUUCUCUGUUUUUUUGGACGACGUAUUGGAAAUAAAGGUUCUAGUUUCGCAGGAGUACAUUACAAAUGCCUGGUGCUACGCAGUUAUGAACUCUACAUAUGCAAAAACCUUAGCCUAGACAGGGCCUUUUCUUAUGCAAUACAAAAUGAUUUCUUGUUCAAAGAUUAUGGUCAUAUGUAAACAGGUUUUGGUAAAGCAAGACACAUUAUCAAAAUUACUCUACAAGCCACUGAAGUUUUAUUAAUAGUCAUCUUGUACAAAUUGCAAAAACUGUACUGCAGUACUAAUGUAUAAAGGAUAUCUCUACGUCCAUAGUUUUCAAGGAGAUAAAUCUAAUAUUGUGAAAUGAACUCAUGUAAUCCAAUUUCAAUUAAUUACAAGCAAAAUUUUACAUUGAAGACAAGUAAAAAAUGAGAGCCUCAAAAAAAGGGUUACAGAUUCAUUGAUAGCACAACGGAGAGGAAAUGAAAUGUACUCUGAAUCAUCAUUGAUCUCAGGAGCACUGUACUCUGUUCCAAACUUCAACACACUUCCAGACGAACCAUACUCGGCUAUUAACCCAAGCCUUCCAUCUCCGAAUUCAAAAUAGUGUAAAUACCAGAGUUAAUUAAAGUUUGUUAAACUUGAUUGCGACUCAAAG